GGAAUAUUGGACAAUGGGCGCAAGCCUGAUCCAGCCAUGCCGCGUGUGUGAAGAAGGCCUUCGGGUUGUAACGCACUUUCAGCGGGGAGGAAGGGUGUUGUGUUAAUAGCACAGCAUUUUGACGUUACCCGCCGCAGAAGAACCGGCUUACUCCGUGCCAGCAGCCGCGGUAAUACGGAGGGUGCAAGCGGUAAUCGGAAUUACUGGGCGUAAAGCGGACGUAGGCGGUAUGUUAAGGUGGAUGUGAAAGCCCCGGGCUCAACCUGGGAAUUGCAUGCAAAACUGGCAUGCUAGAGUAUGUGAGAGGGGGGUAGAAUUCCAAGUGUAGCGGUGAAAUGCGUAGAGAUUUGGAGGAAUACCAGUGGCGAAGGCGGCCCCCUGGCACAAUACUGACGCUCAGGUGCGAAAGCGUGGGGAGCAAA
rnacentral:rRNA from 1 species